rnacentral:rRNA from 1 species
AUGGCCAUGGAGUUGCUCGUGUCCUACCCUGAGGUCUUGCUAGCCAUCGUCUCCUACCUGUGCCUAUCCCUCUUGCGCCUCAUCUUGCGCUGCCAAAAGAGCGGCAUCCCAGUGAAGUGGCCUGUGGUUGGGAUGCUCCCCUUCCUGGUGAGGAAUAGGCACCACAUCCAUGACAAAUUCGCACAUGCCCUCCACGAGGCCGGGUGCAACUUGAUGUUCACCGGCCCGUGGUUCCUCGACAUGGAUUUCUUCCUCAGCUGCGACCCAGCCACGGUCAACCACUGCUUGAGCGCCAAGUUCAACAACUACCCGAAAGGCGGUGAGUUCGCCGAGAUGCUCGACUUCCUCGGCAAUGGGAUCAUCGUGUCCGACUCCGAGUCAUGGGAGUACCAGCGGCAUAUGGCGAUGCACAUCCUUGGCUCCCGUGCCUAUAGGACCUUCUCCAUGUCGACCAUCACCACCAAGGCCGGCGCAACCUUGCUGCCCUACCUGGAGGGCAUGGCUAGGCGCGGGUCGGAGGUCGAGCUGGAGGGCGUCUUCAUGAGGUUCCUGCUUGACGUUACCUACACCAGCGCUUUCGCGACUGACCUUGACGGUUUGUCCAUGUCCCUCCCCAUCCCUGCGUUAGGCCAAGCCACCAAGACGGCGGAGGAGGCGGUGAUGUUCAGGCACACGGUGCCACGGAGCUUGUGGAAGCUCCUGAGGGCGCUCAAAGUCGGGAGCGAGAAGAAGAUGGCCGGUGCAAGGGCGGUGAUUGACCGGCACAUCUACGAGGAGAUCGCCAAACGGAAGGCACAUCUCCUGCAGGGGCAGGGAGAAGAGGGAGACGUGCUGUCCAUGUGCAUCAAGUGGCCCAUGGAUCCCAGCAUGAGCGAGCAGCACAAGACCCAGUUCCUGCGUGACACGGUGCUGGGCUUCAUCUUCGCCGCCAAGGACCUCACUGCUGUCACACUCACCUGGUUCUUCUACAUGAUGUGCAACCACCCGCAUGUCGAGGCGAGGAUCAUCGAGGAGAUCACGGCCCUGCUGCAGCUGCAGAGCACGACGAUGCCCGCUGGAAGCCUGUCCGUCUUGGACGGUGACAUGCUCCGGCAGGCUGUUUACCUCCAAGCUGCAUUCCUUGAGACACUCAGGCUCUUCCCGGCGUCCCCAUUCGAGGAGGUGGAGGCCGUCAACGACGACGUCCUUCCAAAUGGUACCAGGUUAAGCAAGGGCACAAGGAUCGUCUUCUCGCUCUAUGCCAUGGGGAGGCUUGAAGGGAUAUGGGGCAAGGACUGUGCGGAAUUCAGGCCGGAGCGGUGGUUAUCCAAGAGCAGCCGCCUCCGGCACCAGCCAGGAUAUAAGUUCCCGGCCUUCAACGCCGGGCCCAGAAGCUGCGUGGGGAAGGACCUUGCCCUAGGCAGCAUGAAGAUGAUAGCUGCUUCUAUCAUAUACAACUUCAAGGUCCAGCUGGUGGAAGGUCAUGCUGUCAUGCCUGGAAGCUCCAUCGUUCUGCACACACGGAACGGGAUCAUGGUCAACCUCAAGAGAAGGGAGGCAGCAGCUGCUUGA